rnacentral:tRNA from 1 species
GCCUGGGUGGCUCAGUCGGUUGGGCGGCCGACUUCGGCUCAGGUCACGAUCUCUCGAUCCGUGGGUUCAAGCCCCGCGUCAGGCU